GAUGAAGAACGCAGCGAAAUGCGAUAAGUAAUGUGAAUUGCAGAAUUCAGUGAAUCAUCGAAUCUUUGAACGCACAUUGCGCCCCCUGGUAUUCCGGGGGGCAUGCCUGUUCGAGCGUCAUUUCACCACUCAAGCCUCGCUUGGUAUUGGGCAACGCGGUCCGCCGCGUGCCUCAAAUCGACCGGCUGGGUCUUCUGUCCCCUAAGCGUUGUGGAAACUAUUCGCUAAAGGGUGCUCGGGAGGCUACGCCGUAAAACAAACCCAUUUCUAAGGUUGACCUAGGAUCAGGUAGGGAUACCCGCUGAACUUAAGCAUAUCAAUAAGCGGAGGA
rnacentral:misc_RNA from 1 species